rnacentral:rRNA from 1 species
AGCAGCCGCGGUAAUUCCAGCUCCAAUAGCGUAUAUUAAAGUUGUUGCAGUUAAAAAAGCUCGUAGUUGAAUUUCGGAAUCGACGGAUUGGUCGCGCCUUCGGUGUGUACUGGUCUUGCCGGUUUCUCCCUUCUGACGAACCACGAUGUCAUUAAUUUGGUGUCGUGGGGAAUCAGGACUGUUACUUUGAAAAAUUAGAGUGUUUAAAGCAGGCAUUAGCUUGAAUACAUUAGCAUGGAAUAAUGAAAUAGGACGUUUGAUCUUAUUUUGUUGGUUUCUAGGAUCGACGUAAUGAUUAAUAGGGAUAGUUGGGGGCAUUAGUAUUCAAUUGUCAGAGGUGAAAUUCUUGGAUUUAUUGAAGACUAACUACUGCGAAAGCAUUUGCCAAGGAUGUUUUCAUUAAUCAAGAACGAAAGUUAGGGGAUCGAAGACGAUCAGAUACCGUCGUAGUCUUAACCAUAAACUAUGCCGACUAGGGAUCGAAUGAUGUUUAAUUUUUAAUGUACUCUA